UACACUCCUACGGGAGGCAGCAGUGGGGAAUAUUGCACAAUGGGCGCAAGCCUGAUGCAGCCAUGCCGCGUGUAUGAAGAAGGCCUUCGGGUUGUAAAGUACUUUCAGCGGGGAGGAAGGCGAUAAGGUUAAUAACCUUGUUGAUUGACGUUACCCGCAGAAGAAGCACCGGCUAACUCCGUGCCAGCAGCCGCGGUAAUACGGAGGGUGCAAGCGUUAAUCGGAAUUACUGGGCGUAAAGCGCACGCAGGCGGUCUGUCAAGUCGGAUGUGAAAUCCCCGGGCUCAACCUGGGAACUGCAUUCGAAACUGGCAGGCUAGAGUCUUGUAGAGGGGGGUAGAAUUCCAUGUGUAGCGGUGAAAUGCGUAGAGAUCUGGAGGAAUACCGGUGGCGAAGGCGGCCCCCUGGACAAAGACUGACGCUCAGGUGCGAAAGCGUGGGGAGCAAACAGGAUUAGAGACCCUAGUAGUCCCAUGAU
rnacentral:rRNA from 1 species